ensembl:snRNA U6 U6 spliceosomal RNA
GUGCUUGCUUUGACAACACAUACUAAAACUGGAAUGAUACAGAGAGGAUUAGCGUGGUCUCUACACAAGGAUGACACAUGAAUUCAUGAAGUGUUCCAUUAAAAG